AAGCGGUGGAGCAUGUGGUUUAAUUCGAUGCAACGCGAAAACCUUACCUGCCCUUGACAUGUCAGGAAUCUUUCAGAGAUGAGAGAGUGCCUUCGGGAACCUGAACACAGGUGCUGCAUGGCUGUCGUCAGCUCGUGUCGUGAGAUGUUGGGUUAAGUCCCGUAACGAGCGCAACCCUUGUCCUUAGUUGCCAGCGGUUCGGCCGGGGAACUCUAAGGAGACUGCCGGUGAUAAACCGGAGGAAGUGGGGACGACGUCAAGUCAUCAUGGCCCUUAUGGGCAGGGCUACACACGUGCUACAAUGGCCAGUACAGAAGGUUGCCAACCCGCGAGGGGGAGCUAAUCCUGAAAAGACUGGUCGUAGUCCGGAUCGCAGUCUGCAACUCGACUGCGUGAAGUCGGAAUCGCUAGUAAUCGCGAAUCAGCAUGUCGCGGUGAAUACGUUCCCGGGCCUU
rnacentral:rRNA from 1 species